rnacentral:tRNA from 2 species
AUUUAUAUAGUUUAAAUAAAACAUUACAUUUUCACUGUAAAAAUAAAAAAUUAUUUUUUUUAUAAAUA